rnacentral:rRNA from 1 species
AGUGAACGUUGGCGGCGUGGAUUAGGCAUGCAAGUCGAGCGAGAACCGUAGCAAUACGGGGACAGCGGCGAAAGGGACAGUAAUGUGUAGGUACCUACCCCGAGGUCUGGGAUAGCUGCGGGAAACUGCAGGUAAUACCGGAUAAUGUCUUCGGACCAGAGGUGUGAUUCCACCUUGGGCGGGGCCUGCAUCCUAGUAGCUAGUUGGCGGGGUAAUGGCCCACCAAGGCGACGAUGGGUAGCGGGUGUGAGAGCACGACCCGCGUCAUUGGGACUGAGACACUGCCCAGACACCUACGGGUGGCUGCAGGCGAGGAUCUUCGGCAAUGGGCGAAAGCCUGACCGAGCGACGCCGCGUGCGGGAUGAAGGCCUUCGGGUUGUAAACCGCUGUCGUAGAGGAGGAAAUGCAGGUGGGUUCUCCCAUCUGUUUGACCUAUUCUAGGAGGAAGUACGGGCUAAGUUCGUGCCAGCCGCCGCGGUAA